AAUAUUAUUCACCCCUCCCCGUCUAGUGUUUCCCUAUGAUUUCAAACUUGAGUUAUAUUGUGGUCAGAAUUCAAGUUUAAUGGGGCAGUGAAUAUCAAAGCAUCCCCCCUCUUUCUCUUCUCUAGUUCCUUAAUCAGUAACAUCUUCCAUUCCUACUACUGCUGCAACAUCUUCCUUCCUCUUCCUUAACUGAUGCUUCCCUUUUCUGCUCAUCCUGACCUUGCAUUUGUGGUCCAAGUCCUUCUGUUGUACCUUCUCCUGCAUUGUUGUGAGUUGCAGGUUGUUCAUCAUCUGCUCCAACACCACUAGUCUCUCCCCGAAAGAAGGGACUAUCUCGAGCCAUGAGACGAAGACUUUUAAUUGCUCUGGGGUUAUGUAGUGGACCGGUCUAUGGUUACUCUGCUCAAAGAAUUCAAAUAAAAUAUGGUGGAGGGCUAUUUGAUCCCUAUAAGACCCAGCUAGCUAUUAUUGCAUAUAGGUAGUGGUUGCUGCUUUUGCUAUUGUUGUCCCUCAACUUGAGCUGCUCCAUGAGCUCCUUCUUCUACUGCAGCUACUGGUUGUUGUGGCCUCUCCAAUUUUGAUCCCUUUAUGAAUCUUAAUUUUGAAUCUCACAAUCUAUUCUAUUCCCAGUUUUGAAUGUAAGAACCUUAAUUUCGUGAAUCCUAAUUUUAAUUCUCAAAAACCUAUUUCUUUAAUUGUUUAAUCUAA
rnacentral:sRNA from 1 species